rnacentral:ribozyme from 13 species
CCACGAAAUGAGAUAAAAUGCGAAAAUUGUGCAAAGAAAGAAGAAAAAAAAUGGUCACUUUUAGCGGCAGAGGAGAUUUUGGAGCUCUUUUCUUCUUUUUCUUUGGCUUCUUCUCUAUCUUCCUCUUCC